rnacentral:rRNA from 1 species
CGGGUGAGUAACGCAUAGGUUAUGUGCCUCUUAGUUUGGGAUAGCCAUUGGAAACGAUGAUUAAUACCAGAUACUCCCUACGGGGGAAAGAUUUAUCGCUAAGAGAUCAGCCUAUGUCCUAUCAGCUUGUUGGUAAGGUAAUGGCUUACCAAGGCUAUGACGGGUAUCCGGCCUGAGAGGGUGAACGGACACACUGGAACUGAGACACGGUCCAGACUCCUACGGGAGGCAGCAGUAGGGAAUAUUGCUCAAUGGGGGAAACCCUGAAGCAGCAACGCCGCGUGGAGGAUGAAGGUUUUAGGAUUGUAAACUCCUUUUGUUAGAGAAGAUAAUGACGGUAUCUAACGAAUAAGCACCGGCUAACUCCGUGCCAGCAGCCGCGGUAAUACGGAGGGUGCAAGCGUUACUCGGAAUCACUGGGCGUAAAGAGCGCGUAGGCGGGAUAGUCAGUCAGGUGUGAAAUCCUAUGGCUUAACCAUAGAACUGCAUUUGAAACUACUAUUCUAGAGUGUGGGAGAGGUAGGUGGAAUUCUUGGUGUAGGGGUAAAAUCCGUAGAGAUCAAGAGGAAUACUCAUUGCGAAGGCGACCUGCUGGAACAUUACUGACGCUGAUUGCGCGAAAGCGUGGGGAGCAAACAGGAUUAGAUACCCUGGUAGUCCACGCCCUAAACGAUGGAUGCUAGUUGUUGGAGGGCUUAGUCUCUCCAGUAAUGCAGCUAACGCAUUAAGCAUCCCGCCUGGGGAGUACGGUCGCAAGAUUAAAACUCAAAGGAAUAGACGGGGACCCGCACAAGCGGUGGAGCAUGUGGUUUAAUUCGAAGAUACACGAAGACCCUUACCUAGGCUUGACAUUGAGAGAAUCCGCUAGAAAUAGUGGAGUGUCUAGCUUGCUAGACCUUGAAAACAGGUGCUGCACGGCUGUCGUCAGCUCGUGUCGUGAGAUGUUGGGUUAAGUCCCGCAACGAGCGCAACCCCCUUUCUUAGUUGCUAACAGGUUAUGCUGAGAACUCUAAGGAUACUGCCUCCGUAAGGAGGAGGAAGGUGGGGACGACGUCAAGUCAUCAUGGCCCUUACGCCUAGGGCUACACACGUGCUACAAUGGGGUGCACAAAGAGAAGCAAUACUGCGAAGUGGAGCCAAUCUUCAAAACGCCUCUCAGUUCGGAUUGUAGGCUGCAACUCGCCUGCAUGAAGCUGGAAUCGCUAGUAAUCGCAAAUCAGCCAUGUUGCGGUGAAUACGUUCCCGGGUCUUGUACUCACCGCCCGUCACACCAUGGGAGUUGUGUUUGCCUUAAGUCAGGAUGCUAA